rnacentral:rRNA from 1 species
UACAGAGGGUGCGAGCGUUAAUCGGAAUUACUGGGCGUAAAGCGCGCGCAGGCGGCGCGAUAAGACCGGCGUGAAAGCCCCCGGCUCAACCGGGGAGGGUCGUUGGUGACUGUCGCGCUUGAAGGCAGCAGGGGUGAGUGGAAUUCCCGGUGUAGUGGUGAAAUGCGUAGAGAUCGGCAGGAACACCCAGGGGGAAACCAGCCGGCUGGGGACGUGCUGACGCUCAGGGGCGAAAGCGUGGGGAGCGAACCGG